UGCAGAGCAGUUAGGCAUUUCAGUCUUACUUCCCCUUGCUUAUCAUGCAUAGUCCACCCUACGUAUUUUAAGUAGCUGUCAUUGAGAAAGGCGUCGCUGUACAUCUUCAUCCAUAUUCCAAUUUCUUCAAUACAGAUAGCUCUUAUUUCAGCAAUUGCAUCUCGGUAUCUAUGCACAAAAACACCUUUAAAUAUUGCAUUCAUCAUGUUCUCUAUUUCAUCCUGAUUUUCCUGAAGCUCCUUUCUUUUCUGUAGUAAGAGUUCCAGCCUAUCAUUAGCACGCUUCCCAAUGAUUUUAUUUCGUUCUGCUUCAUACUGCCGUUGUGUGUUGUCCAUGUUAAUACUAAGAUUCAACGCCAC
rnacentral:lncRNA from 1 species